rnacentral:rRNA from 1 species
CAGUCGCCGCGGGAAUACGUAGGGCGCAAGCGUUGUCCGGAAUUAUUGGGCGUAAAGAGCUCGUAGGCGGUCUGUCGCGUCUGGUGUGAAAUCCCGAGGCUCAACCUCGGGCUUGCAUCGGGUACGGGCAGACUAGAGUGCGGUAGGGGAGACUGGAAUUCCUGGUGUAGCGGUGGAAUGCGCAGAUAUCAGGAGGAACACCGAUGGCGAAGGCAGGUCUCUGGGCCGCAACUGACGCUGAGGAGCGAAAGCAUGGGGAGCGAACAGGAUUAGAGACCCCAGUAGUCCCUGUCUCUUAUAC